GGCAUGAUACCAAGGAUGGAGAAGCUGCUUUUGCAUCAAGAAGCUCUUUAAUGCCUGAAGAAUUGAGCUACCUUGGGCAAUGUCCAGGCCAGCCCUGAUGAUGAGAUUUUGUACUGUUGAAAUGGUCGUAAUUUUAUUGAACCAAGAUAUGUUGAGAACUCACAACUACAAAAAAGGAAGCAGUCUUCACUUAGAAAAGUUACUAGCCAGAGAAUUAAAAGUAUGUUACACUUUUUA